UUAGUAUUCUACACCCAACUGACCCAUCCAGCCCACAAAUCAACCAGCUAAUCCAAACCCGGCUCCCACCACCCAGCCAGCCCACCCCUCCCGAGCCGUCCCCCAAGCUAUCCAGCUUUUGCGUUCAGCGAGCACAAGCCGCGAGCGCGCGGAGCGCGGCGAGCGGCGAGUGUGAGACCUCCCCGGAUCGACGGCGCAUGGGGCCAUCGGGAGCUACGGUGGGCGCGGCCAGCAGGGCCGUUGCGCGCAGGCCGGCGAGAGGCAACGGCCGCGGCCUUCGCAGGGAGCGGCGGUAGGCGCGGCCUGUGCGUGGAGCGGCGGCGCGGUUUUGUGGAGAGCCGCGACGGUGCAGCCUGCACGGAAAAGCGACCUGCGCAGAUGCGCGCGCGGUGCACGGGGAGCGGGGAGCGCAGCACACGGGUGGAACAGAGAUGGAGCACACGCAUGCUAGGAUUUAGGCGCAGCUCCCCUCAUCCACAUAAUCUCUCUGAUUUGGAUGUGAUAAUAGGUAAUGGAUAUCUGCCUCAGCAAUUGAGCUCUCUCAUCACCCAAAUCUCUACACCCCCAAUUGAUUUUGCUGUGUAAUUAUGUAGGCACACGCGGUAUGGCCCAGCAGGAGCAACUCGAGGAGCAGCAUAGCCAGCGGGGGCGGCGCAAGGAGCAGUGCAGCUGGCUAGCAGCGCCGGUUUGAGGAGCAGGGGCGCGCGGCAGAGGGAGCAAAGGCGCCCCGGCCUGCAACUGGGGAGGUGGCGACGCAGGUAGCAGCAGUGGUUUUCUUGGGGUUAUGUUGGAAAUGGAGACACGCUGAUCCCAUCAAGCUGGUCGUUAUGCAGGCAACGUCACUAACAAAUUGAGAUUGGAGCUGUGACUGGUGUCUUACUUGCUGCUACCCUAUUCAUUGGCUUUGGAUCUUUGUCCCUUUUCCUCAAAUUAUUGAUGUUGAUGCGAGUACUCUCUAUGCAUUAGCACCUUACUGUGGCCAGCGGGAGAGUUGGAAACAAAACCAUGUAACUGAUGCUGCAAAUAAGACUUGAUACUUUUUGCUUUUGUUUCUCUGAAAUAAAGUGGGAACAUCCUUAACUGUGUGGCAGAUAGCAAGGUAGCUCAUGUAUCUCUAUGGAAGUAUGUAGACAGUAACAAAAUCAUGUACAUGCUUGGAUUCAGUAACGAGGAGAUUCAGUUAUUCAGUA